CUACGGGGCGCAGCAGGCGAGAAAACUUUGCAAUGUGCGAAAGCACGACAAGGUUAAUCCGAGUGGUUUGUGCUAAACGAACCUUUUGACAGUCCUAGAAACACUGUUGAAUAAGGGGUGGGCAAGUUCUGGUGUCAGCCGCCGCGGUAAAACCAGCACCUCAAGUGGGCAGGAUGAUUAUUGGGCCUAAAGCAUCCAUAGCCGGCUCUGUAAGUUUUCGGUUAAAUCUGUACGCUCAACGUACAGGCUGCCGGGAAUACUGCAGAGCUAGGGAGUGGGAGAGGUAGACGGUACUCGGUAGGAAGGGGUAAAAUCCUCUGAUCUAUUGAUGACCACCUGUGGCGAAGGCGGUCUACCAGAACACGUCCGACGGUGAGGGAUGAAAGCUGGGGGAGCAAACCGGAUUAGAUACCCCCGUAGUC
rnacentral:rRNA from 1 species